rnacentral:lncRNA from 1 species
UGGACAAGCGCCCAGUCAAGGACCACUCGGAGAAAAAAAGUUGACAAGCGCGGUCGUGGUUGUGAGUGGAUGGUUGGGGAAGCAAGAUUACUAUUAGAUUACUAUGAGCAGUACUUCGCUCGAGUAGGGCCGAUAAAAAAAUUUCGGAACAAGAAGAAAACGUUUUCGCACAUAGCACUGAAACUGAGGGAAACCCCUGGAGU